UACGGGGGGGGCAAGCGUUGUUCGGAAUUACUGGGCGUAAAGGGCUCGUAGGCGGCCCUCUACGUCAGACGUGAAAUCCCUCGGCUUAACCGGGGAACUGCGUCUGAUACUGGAGGGCUUGAGUUUGGGAGAGGGAUGCGGAAUUCCAGGUGUAGCGGUGAAAUGCGUAGAUAUCUGGAGGAACACCGGUGGCGAAGGCGGCAUCCUGGACCGGCAUUGACGCUGAGGCGCGAAAGCCAGGGGAGCAAACGGG
rnacentral:rRNA from 1 species